UAUUACCAAUACGUUAACAUAAUCGUUUGGUGGUUACUAUUGGCUGAUGCUCAUAUUGGAAGGCUCCGACAGCCUUCUUUUACUCUUAAAUAAGAAUUAUUCAUACGAGCUCGAGUGUGUUACAACAACAGCGACUAAUACUAAACAAAAAAGAAGAAAAAAAAUCAGAAGUUAGGUGUGUGGUGGUGUGCAUCAAUGCGACUCUAUGCCACCUUCCCGAACAAGGAUCACCGUGUCGCAGUCGCGGUGUAAUGUUUUAAAUGUCAUCGGGUCCCCGGCAGCAGUCCCAGUAACAACUACUAACGUUUUUAAAAAGCAACACGCUUACUCAAUUGUCAUAAUUUUCUUGCUUUGCUUUCACGUAUCAUUUUUUUAACCUUAAAUUCAUCUCAUUACACAUUAUGAGGAUUAUUAUUAUUAUUGUGGUCGUGAUGUUUUCUUCGAUGCACGCGAAUCAAUAUGUAUUAAAAUAAUAAUUAAUAGUGAGUCGUAUCUCGAUGAGGAUCUUGUUUGAGAACAACCAGUGACAUCGUGCAAUCGCUAUUAUGUCGUAGAUAGUAAACGAGAUUGUCUUCCUCUGGAUGGGCGGCGAUCCACUCAAGACCCUUGAGGAUCGCUUCAGGGAUCGGCGGAGAAACUGGAAGAUGAUCCCCAG